UACGGAGGGUGCGAGCGUUGUCCGGAAUCACUGGGCGUAAAGGGCGCGUAGGCGGCGACCCAAGUCAACGGUGAAAGCUCGGCGCUCAACGCCGAGUCGGCCGUCGAUACUGGGAUGCUUGAGCACUGUAGAGGCAGAUGGAAUUCCGGGUGUAGCGGUGGAAUGCGUAGAGAUCCGGAAGAACACCGGUGGCGAAGGCGGUCUGCUGGGCAGUAGCUGACGCUGAGGCGCGAAAGCGUGGGGAGCAAACAGG
rnacentral:rRNA from 1 species